rnacentral:rRNA from 1 species
AUUGAACGCUGGCGGCAUGCUUUACACAUGCAAGUCGAACGGUAACAGGCCUUCGGGUGCUGACGAGUGGCGCACGGGUGAGUAAUGCAUCGGAACGUACCCAGAGGUGGGGGAUAACGCAGCGAAAGCUGUGCUAAUACCGCAUGUGAUCUGAGGAUGAAAGCGGGGGACCGAGCAGCAAUGUUUGGCCUCGCGCCUUUGGAGCGGCCGAUGUCGGAUUAGCUAGUUGGUGGGGUAAAGGCCUACCAAGGCGACGAUCCGUAGCUGGUCUGAGAGGACGACCAGCCACACUGGGACUGAGACACGGCCCAGACUCCUACGGGAGGCAGCAGUGGGGAAUUUUGGACAAUGGGCGCAAGCCUGAUCCAGCAAUGCCGCGUGCGGGAGGAAGGCCUUCGGGUUGUAAACCGCUUUUGGCAGGAACGAAACGGUGUCCGCUAAUACCGGGCGCUAAUGACGGUACCUGCAGAAUAAGCACCGGCUAACUACGU